rnacentral:rRNA from 1 species
UACGUAGGGACCUAGCGUUGUCCGGAAUCAUUGGGCGUAAAGCGCGCGUAGGCGGCCCGGUAAGUCCGUUGUAAAAGUCAAAGGCUCAACCUUUGAAGGCCGAUGGAUACUGCCGGGCUAGAGUCCGGAAGAGGCGAGUAGAAUUCCUGGUGUAGCGGUGGAAUGCGCAGAUAUCAGGAGGAAUACCCAUAGCGAAGGCAGCUCGCUGGGACGGUACUGACGCUGAGGCACGAAAGCGUGGGGAGCAAACAGG